rfam:Candidatus Magasanikbacteria bacterium RIFOXYD12_FTLL_33_17 rifoxyd3_full_scaffold_2083, whole genome shotgun sequence.
GGAGAGAUGCCAGAGUGGUCGAAUGGGUCUGACUCGAAAUCAGUUGCCCGCCUAAUCGGCGGACCGAGGGUUCGAAUCCCUCUCUCUCCG